UCUCCGUAGGUGAACCUGCGGAGGGAUCAUUACAGAGUUCAUGCCCUACCGGGUAGAUCUCCCACCCUAUGUUAUUAUUACUUUGUUGCUUUGGCGGGCCUUUAGGCUCCGGCCCGACUACCGGCCCCGGCUGGUAAGCGCCCGCCAGAGGACCCAAAACCCUGAAUAUUAGUGUCGUCUGAGUACUAUAUAAUAGUUAAAACUUUCAACAACGGAUCUCUUGGUUCUG
rnacentral:misc_RNA from 1 species